UACGUAGGUGGCGAGCGUUGUCCGGAUUUACUGGGCGUAAAGAGCGCGCAGGCGGUCGUUCAAGUCGCGUGUGAAAGCCCCCGGCUCAACUGGGGAGGGUCACGCGAUACUGAUCGACUCGAAGGCAGGAGAGGGAAGUGGAAUUCCCGGUGUAGUGGUGAAAUGCGUAGAUAUCGGGAGGAACACCAGUGGCGAAGGCGACUUCCUGGCCUGUUCCUGACGCUGAGGCGCGAAAGCUAGGGGAGCAAACGGG
rnacentral:rRNA from 1 species